AGAGACAAGCUCUGUGACACAAGGGGGGCGGCAGAAAUUCUCCCAUAAGAAGUAGGGUAGAAAUUCUGAGAAGAACAAAACAAAACUUCGUUUAGAUGCACUUUCCGCAAACAAAACCUGGAGACAGCACAGCUGAGAAAGUGCCUUGCUGCCUCUGGAUUAAUCGUGUGUGAUAUUCAGAAAGUGAAGGCAGAUGUUACUUUUAUCCAGCUGAGGAUUGCUGAGGCUUUGCCCUGUGAUCACACUCCUUACUGCCACAGUCCAGACAGGUAUUUCUCCAAACGCCAUUAAUUCUCAUUCUUAGCAGGCCUGAGGACAGGACAUCAUGCAAGAUGAGAUCCACCCCCAGCUCCUUCAGGAAACCCAUGUGCCAAUGACCCGUGUGCUCAUCCUGCUUGCCUGGCCACUGGGAAUGAGGGGAAGGGCUGCAUGAUGGGAACAACUGGAAUUUACAGGCCUUUGUUUUAGAUCAUCCUGGGGCAACAGCUGCCUGGUGGAGUGGAAG
rnacentral:lncRNA from 1 species